rnacentral:antisense_RNA from 1 species
CUUGAUCGAACCGAGCCACAACGGCUGCUCCGCGGGGCGGUCCUGGCCGUAGGUCGCCAGCAGCGCCUGGGCCUC